AGCGAACGCUGGCGGCAGGCUUAACACAUGCAAGUCGAACGCUCGUAGCAAUACGGGAGUGGCAGACGGGUGAGUAACGCGUGGGAAUAUGCCUUUUAGUUCGGAAUAACUCAGGGAAACUUGAGCUAAUACCGGAUAAGCCCGUGGGGGGAAAGAUUUAUCGCCAAAAGAUUAGCCCGCGUCCGAUUAGCUAGUUGGUGAGGUAAUGGCUCACCAAGGCGACGAUCGGUAGCUGGUCUGAGAGGAUGAUCAGCCACAUUGGGACUGAGACACGGCCCAAACUCCUACGGGAGGCAGCAGUGGGGAAUAUUGGACAAUGGGCGCAAGCCUGAUCCAGCCAUGCCGCGUGAGUGAUGAAGGCCUUAGGGUUGUAAAGCUCUUUUGUCCGGGAAGAUAAUGACGGUACCGGAAGAAUAAGCCCCGGCUAACUUCGUGCCAGCAGCCGCCGUAA
rnacentral:rRNA from 1 species